rnacentral:rRNA from 1 species
GACGAACGCUGGCGGCGUGCUUAACACAUGCAAGUCGAGCGGUAAGGCCCUUUCGGGGGUACACGAGCGGCGAACGGGUGAGUAACACGUGGGUGACCUGCCCUCAGCUCUGGGAUAAGCCUGGGAAACUGGGUCUAAUACUGGAUAUGACUCCACGGUGCAUGUCGUGGGGUGGAAAGCCUUGUGCGGCUGAGGAUGGGGCCCGCGGCCUAUCAGCUUGUUGGUGGGGUGAGGCCUACCAAGGCGACGACGGGUAGCCGGCCUGAGAGGGCGACCGGCCACACUGGGACUGAGACACGGCCCAGACUCCUACGGGAGGCAGCAGUGGGGAAUNUUGCGCAAUGGGCGAAAGCCUGACGCAGCGACGCCGCGUGAGGGAUGACGGCCU